rnacentral:RNase_P_RNA from 1 species
UCAGACGGCCGGAUGGCUGCGCUUGGAUGGGCAACCGUCCGGGUGAGGAAAGUCCGGGCUCCACGGAAACACGGUGCCGGCUAACGGCCGGCGGGGGCGACCCCAGGGAAAGUGCCACAGAGAACAGACCGCCUGUCCGCUUCGCCCUUGGGUGAUCGGAUCGGCAAGGGUGAAACGGUGGGGUAAGAGCCCACCGCGCGACCGGCAACGGGAGCGGCACGGCAAACCCCACCGGGAGCAAGACCAAAUAGGGACGGCACGCCGGGAAACCGGCACGCGGGUUUCCGCGCCGUCGUCCGGGUCGGUCGCGCGAGGUGUUCGGCAACGGGCAUCCCAGAGGAAUGGCCAUCUCCCGUCCAGGUUCGCUUGGGUGGGGACAGAACCCGGCUUACAGGCCGUCUGACUCU